CAUUGAAAACCUUAGUAUAGGUUUGUGUAGCUUAGACUCGUAAAAGCAGCUCCUUUAUAACAAUUAAGAGUAGAUUGAGCAAGAUAUAAAAAAAAUUACAAAAUGAGAAAUUAAUGUUACAGGAUCCAAUAGAAAUUAAGAAUAAAAACCUCAAAUUAACACGUAAUAUAAUGUAAUUACAGUCGUAAUAGGUGCCAAUUUGAGGUUAGAGUAUCCACGGGAACAUUCUCAAAUAGAAUGUGAAGAAAAGAAAACAAAAAAUGGGCUGAGAAUUGAGGUUUGUGUCCAUUGUGUUUGAUCGUGUUAAGGGUACGUAAGUGGGUUGGCUUUUGUAGUUGCCUCCAAAGUUCACAUGGUGGGUUAGGGAUGGCAGUAGGCGGGAUUUCAAAUGAGGUGCGAUUUAGAAUCACUCAGAUGGGCAGUUUGUUUGGACGCGAGAUAACAUGAAAGUGCAUGUGACUGACCGAGUAUUCAUUAUUGUGACACUCAUCUGGGCUCUUGCGGCCCCUCCAGUGCUCAACUCCCCCCAUCAACAACUCUUCUCUCCACAGCGCCUUGCUUUGCUUCUACGUCUGUACUUCCCUGCAUUUCAAAUAGUGAAUCAAGAAGAAGAUGAAUUAGGAACCCGUACAAAUGUUCAACUCCAAGUACCCGAUUUAGUUCGUCUGCAUAUCUGUCGUAUCAAUGUAUGUCACAAAAAUCCUUUACGUACAGAACUGUCACAUGAUCCGAUAGUCACUUUCAUGUAAAUGUUUUGGACGAUCACUCCGACUAUCAACCCAUUACAUUGUUGUAUAUACAUGGCAGAGGACACUGACGUACGUCCUAUCCCAGGUGUGCUUGCUUACCAAAUUUGUUGUUACCUUGGAUAGUAUUAAGUAGAUUAAUGUGGCAUUGAGGGACAUUACUAAAUGGAUACCAGGCAAAGAAAAGGGCAAAUAUAGAAAGGAACUUAAAAAUCAAUCUGCCAUGAUUAGCACCGGAUUUUUCCAGGCUGCUUCAGUGCCUUGAGCCCUUCACGCAGUACGCAUAUACAGUUAUGUAAAGUCAACAUCAUCGUAGCUGGAAAUAGGUUAAUAUUUUGAAUAUGAACUUAUAAGGAAAGACUAAUGAAUCCAUUUUCUUAUAGAACUUAGAAUCGGAUGAGCAUAUCCUUGUCAUUAAAUGCCUUAACAAGUCAAAGGGUAUCAUUUGGGUUUUGCAAAAAGAAAGACACAAUAGGUCACGAGAAUGAUUAGAUUAUUCAAACUUAUAAAAAAAAAAGGAACUAUCAGAGGAAUUAAUUUGAACGAUGUAUCAUUGGACAAGAAUUGGGGAGAGCAUGUUCAGACCGCAGACUGGGAGGUGAGUGGUUAUUUAUUUUUAUCUGUGACAGUUGUGACAAAUAGUAAAAAUAAUAAUGAAACAACAGGUGGUGUGGAGGAAUCACAUGAUGAUAAUGAUAAAUCUAAGGUCCACACGGUAUAUUAGUUAGUUAAACACCCUUUUAAAACGAAAAUAAAAGGGGCAAUAAGACAGAUGGUCAACAAGAUUUGAGAUUGCAACUUGCAAGAGAUGUCAAACUUAGCCAGCCAGGAGCUCAAAUUUGCAGGGAAUGGAUUGUGUAAGCAUUUCUGGAAAUCAGUUAGAUACCUCAGGGAACAAGAAAACACUCAUUGCGUAUUAGAUGGACCUAGGCUAAGCGAAGUUCUAAUCUGCAGUUCAGGUUGAAGAUGAGUACAAAUGUGUACAGAGAUGUCGACUUUGGUUUCGGAUUAAACCGGAAAUGAACAAACAAGAACAAAAUGACAUGACACCCACGAGAUAUUCUGCUUCCACAUUAAAUGAAUAAUAACGUGUGUACAGUCAAUAUCAAACUACACAUGCCAGCCAGACAAUUGCAAGUCGAUAUUUGAGCAUUUAUUUACUAUUGUUUCCUUACCUGUUGUAUCCGAGUCGCAGUUCAGAAUUCACUCCAAAUAUAACUUUCCAGCCUUUCCAGUUUCCAUCUUGAUAGUCAUUUAUCUGGAAAAAGACAGGAAAGCUGUCACAACGGUAAAGCACAAGUGUCAACAAACCUUGCAAUACAAGCAUAAUGAAUCAGGAAUUCUGUGAUCUGUUUCACAACAAUAAUACCAAAUUUCUUCCCUGUCCCUCCCUUGUACGCAUCAUCAAGGUUAACUAAGAUCCAUCAUCAUAUCAGACCCAAAAAAAACUGCAAUGUUCAUCACAUCAUGGAAAGUAAUAAUAGAGAUCAAUUUUCUGGCGUCAAUCAAGGUGAGAUUAGAAAAAUAUAACGACUAAUGAUGUAAGACCCCCACACCCGUAACUAGUGGGGAUGCCGUGUCAACUCCUUUCCCUUGUGCCAGUUUUCACUUUUCCUGAUGGCUGGCAGAUAAUGUGUUGGAUACAACAGGGGUAACUGGCUUGGAUUUAGCUAACUCCAAAGCCAAAAUAUCUACUGUGUUUCCGGACCUCAUUCCUGCAUUGGCCAAACAAAUCAAAAGUUGAACACUUGAACUGAAAGAAAACGAACAUGAAGUAUCAAACGAACAUGAUGACUUGUGUAGAGCCAACUGCCAGGCAGAAGGCUACUGUUCAAUUCACUCACCAUUGCUCUCCGGAUCAGCAUUCAGGUGUUCACUCAAGAUAAUCUUCUGCCCUUUCUUUUAUCUAUCUGUAAUAAAAGAAAUUACAAACAAACCGCCCAAUACAAGAAUAUGAGACUGAGAAAAAAAACGAUCUGUGUCCAAAUUUUAGGCUCAUGCUAUCACUUUUGGGUUUUUUAUUUGCAAGUAUUCAACUGCUCCAUCCAUUUGUCUUCUGAAACUCAAUACAGAACAACUCCAUGAGGAUAACACUGCAAAUAAAUAUCGACAUUGACCAAAAACUUGCCUACUUGUCUUCAGAGAAAGAUGCUGUUUAAAGGUAAACAAGUCAAUAACAAAGAGACGACACUACGCAAUGUACACGUUAUAGCCAAGUACUCAUAUAACCGUCAAUUUGAAAAUGACAAAUCGGAUUAAUAGUUUAAUAUACCUUCCAUAGGAUAGUUGCAACAAUUCUUCUCUUCCACAGAUAAUCUGAACCUGAAAAGCCAAUCAAAUCUGCAAUCAAAUCUUCCACAGAGUAGAAUGUUGGGGAAUAUUUCACCUGGAAUGUAGCUCAUCCGUUACGCGGUUUUUUCGUGAAUAGAAUCAGACUCAACGAUCUGCAACUUUCACCUACUCAAGUGGGCGAUGAAUGACAGUGCUAUCUAUGAAAGCCCCAACCUUGGAAACCGGCAGCUGCGACGGAAGGGCAGAGGCUGUUAUCCAUUGCAACGUGAGAAACGGUGAAUUCAAGAGGAAACCCUGAACGACGCCGUUAGGUAUUAUUUAAAGCCCAA
rnacentral:lncRNA from 1 species